rnacentral:lncRNA from 1 species
AACUGAAGUCCUUUUGUUCACCCGACUUAGAAUACCUCACAAUCAAAUGUCAACCGUAAUACCUCCCAAGAUAAUUAUCUUCGGUUAAAGUCACAGCCAUGUAUAUACCAUGACGGCCCUCAAAGAACUUCACUGGACUUUAUGCAAACUGGAAACCACAUAUCCUGAGGCUGCAUAUAUUGUAGCUGGGGAUUUUAACAAGCAAAUCUGAGAAAAACGUUACUGAAGUUCUAUCAACACAUUGACUGUAGUACUUGCGCUGCUAAAUGUCACGACUUCCGCCGAGGUCCUCAAUAAAGGGCUCAACAGCGCCUCUUCAACCUCAGGAGGCUGAAGAUAAAACCCUCACAAACUUUUACAGAUGCACAAUUGAGAGCAUCCUGUCGGGCUGUAUCAUCGCCUGGUACAGCAACUGUACCGCCCGCAGGGCUCUUCAGAGGGUGGUGCGGUCUGCCCAACCGGGGGCAAACUACCUGCCCUCCAGGACACCUACAGCACCCGAAGUCACAGGAAGGCCAAAAAGAUCAAAGACAACAAUCACCCUAGCCCCUGCCUGUUCACCUCGCUAUCAUCCAGAAGGCGAGUUCUGCCUGCUCUGACUCUGGUCCCUGUCUCCCUGACUUCUCGUCAGUCCUGCUACUCUGCCCUGGAUUCCCCACUCUAUGCUCCCUUCAAUUCCCCUCCGGACCUGCUUACCCUGUCCCAACACCUCUCGCUCCAGCCUCAGCCUCCGCACCUGGUUUCCGGCAACCCGCCCGAGCUUCCCCUGGCCCGCACUCAAUCUUCCCCCCGUGCUUCAAUAAAUACCUUGGUUACCUCAUCCCAGUCUCCUCGUGUGAGUCUGCUCUUGGGUUCAGCUGUUCCGCUCCGUGUGACACUCCUAUAAGUGCAGAGGAGGCGGAGAGGGCCCUGUCUGAGCAUGUGUAUAUUAAGAUGUAUAUUAUGGGCAUGAUUAAAAUCGGUUUAUUUCUCAGAACAUUGUUUUACCGUCAUUCAUGCAGGGCUACAACUGCUUAUGUACACUUUGCAGAAAGCUAGUAAGGUAGGGAGGGCAGCAGAAAUGGACUGGCCAUUGGGCCGUUCGGGAAAAGGUCAGAUGGGCUGGUCCAUAUGUAGCUCAGUGGGCCUGUCUAAAUUGUUGUUUUGUGUGUGUAUCAGACCUGGGAUAACUACAGAUUUUAAUAUGCUUCGUGAG